UACGUAGGGCGCAAGCGUUGUCCGGAAUCAUUGGGCGUAAAGAGCUCGUAGGUGGUCUGUUACGUCUGCUGUGAAAACCUAGGGCUUAACCUCGAGCUGUCGGCGGAAACCAUCUGGCUAGAGUCCGGAAGAGGAGAAUGGAAUUCCCGGUGUAGCGGUGAAAUGCGCAGAUAUCGGGAAGAACACCCGUGGCGAAGGCGGUUCUCUGGGACGGUACUGACGCUGAGACGCGAAAGCGUGGGGAGCGAACAGG
rnacentral:rRNA from 1 species